AACGAACGCUGGCGGCAUGCCUAACACAUGCAAGUCGAACGAGACCUUCGGGUCUAGUGGCGCACGGGUGCGUAACGCGUGGGAACCUGCCCUUAGGUUCGGAAUAACUCCCCGAAAGGGGUGCUAAUACCGGAUAAUGUCUUCGGACCAAAGAUUUAUCGCCUUUGGAUGGGCCCGCGUUGGAUUAGCUAGUUGGUAGGGUAAAAGCCUACCAAGGCGACGAUCCAUAGCUGGUCUGAGAGGAUGAUCAGCCACACUGGGACUGAGACACGGCCCAGACUCCUACGGGAGGCAGCAGUGGGGAAUAUUGGAGAAUGGGCGAAAGCCUGAUCCAGCAAUGCCGCGUGAGUGAUGAAGGCAUUAGGGUUGUAAAGCUCUUUUACCCGGGAUGAUAAUGACAGUACCGGGAGAAUAAGCUCGGGCGAACUCCGUC
rnacentral:rRNA from 1 species